rnacentral:rRNA from 1 species
UACGUAGGGGGCGAGCGUUGUUCGGAAUUACUGGGCGUAAAGGGCUCGUAGGCGGCCAACUAAGUCAGACGUGAAAUCCCUCGGCUUAACCGGGGAACUGCAUCUGAUACUGGAUGGCUUGAGUUCGGGAGAGGGAUGCGGAAUUCCAGGUGUAGCGGUGAAAUGCGUAGAUAUCUGGAGGAACACCGGUGGCGAAGGCGGCAUCCUGGACCGACACUGACGCUGAGGAGCGAAAGCCAGGGGAGCAAACGGG